UACGUAGGGGGCAAGCGUUGUCCGGAUUUAUUGGGCGUAAAGAGCGUGUAGGCGGUCAGGUAGGUCCGUUGUGAAACUCGAGGCUCAACCUCGAGACGCCGAUGGAAACCAUCUGACUAGAGUCCGGAAGAGGAGAGUGGAAUUCCUGGUGUAGCGGUGAAUGACGCAGAGUAUCAGGAAGAACACCCGUGGCUAAGGCGGCUCUCUAGUACGGUACUGACGCUGAGACGCGGAAAGCGUGGGGAGCGAACAGG
rnacentral:rRNA from 1 species